CAAAAAAUCUACCAUGAAAGUUGUUCAGAUCCUUUCUUUUUAUUAUAUUUUGGUAUUUCCCUAUAUAUUAUAACAACAUGUGACCAUCAUUAAAAUUUUAAAAUAAAAAACAAACAUAUCUCCAAAAAGAAUAUAUGGAAAAUAUGCUAAUGACUAUUAUCUUACCAAAUACAUGAGAAGUUAGAUGUUUAAGAUUUUAAUGCUCUUCUGUCGUAUAAACAAAGGGAAUAAAAAGCCCAUUAAAGUUUAUUGAUCCAAUAAUUAUAUUUGUACCUCUCAAAC
rnacentral:lncRNA from 1 species